CCUAACUCCGGAAUGGCAUUGGAAACUGGUUAACUUGAGUGUUUAUAGGGAAGUGGAACUCCAUGUGUAGCGGUGGAAUGCGUAAAUAUAUGGAAGAACACCAGUGGCGAAGCGGCUUACGGGACAACAACUGACGUUAAGGCUCAAAAGUGGGGGUAGCAAACGGGAUUAAAUACCCGGGAAGCCCACCCCGAAAACAAGGAAUACUAGGGGUUAGGAAGUUUCCCCCUCUUAGUGCCGAUGCUAACGCAUUAAGCAUUCCGCCGGGGGAGUACGACCGCAAGGUUGAAACUCAAAGGAAUUGACGGGGACCCCCACAAGCGGUGGAGCGUGUGGUUUAAUUCGAAGCCACGCGAAAAACCUUACCACGUCGUGACAUCCUUUGAACCUUUUAGAGAUGGAAGUGUUCUCUUCAGAGACGUGUGACAGGGGGGGCAUGGUCGUGGUCACUUCGGGUGGUGAGAUGUGGGGUUAAUUCCCGCAACGAGCGCAACCCUUAUUGAUAUUGGCCAGCAUUAAGCUCGGCACUCUAGCGAGACUGCCGGUGACAAAGAGGAGGAAA
rnacentral:rRNA from 1 species